CCCUACGGGGGGCAGCAGUGAGGAAUAUUGGCCAAUGGGCGGGAGCCUGAACCAGCCAAGUCGCGUGAGGGAAGACGGUCCUAUGGAUUGUAAACCUCUUUAGGCGGGGAGCAAUGCCGGGCACGCGUGCCCGGAGGGAGAGUACCCGCAGAAUAAGCAUCGGCUAACUCCGUGCCAGCAGCCGCGGUAAUACGGAGGAUGCGAGCGUUAUCCGGAUUUAUUGGGUUUAAAGGGUGCGUAGGCGGAUUUUUAAGUCAGCGGUAAAUGUCCGGGCUCAACCCGGGCCGGCCGUUGAAACUGGGGGU
rnacentral:rRNA from 1 species